rnacentral:rRNA from 1 species
CAUGGCUUUUUGUUAUUUAUAUAAGGUCUAACCUGCCCAAUGAUAAAAUUAAAUGGCCGCGGUACUUUGACCGUGCAAAGGUAGCAUAAUCAUUAGUUUUUUAAUUGAAAGCUGGAAUGAAAGGUUGAAUGAGAAAAUGACUGUCUUUGUGAUAUUUAAUUAAAAUUUUAUUUUUAAGUUAAAAAGCUUAAAUUAAAUUUAAAGACGAGAAGACCCUUUAGAGUUUUAUAAAAAAUUAGUUUUUGACUUUUUAGAAUUAACUAUAAGAAAAUUAAUUUUUAUUUAGUUGGGGCGAUUGAAAAAUUAAAUAAACUUUUUUUUUUAUUUAACAUUAAUUUAUGAAUAUUUGAUCCAUAUAUUAUGAUUAUAAGAUUAAAUUACCUAAGGGAUAACAGCGUUAUUUUUCUUGAGAGUUCUUAUCGAAAGAAGAGUUUGCGACCUCGAUGUUGGAUUAAAAUUAAAUUAUGGUGUAGAGGCUGUAAC